CUCUGUGCCAGUGAUGUUGCAUGAUAUUGAUUUUAAAGCCUUUUGACCAUCUGUUAAUGGUUACAACAGCAUGGCGGGAUCUACAGUUUAGCAAUACAGUUGGCCAUGUUUCGAUUAUUAAACUACGAAGCAUUGUGAUGACAUGAAGGCAUUAUAGAUUUAGAUCUCGUUGUAUGUAUUUAAACAACGUUCUCAACAUUCAGAUCAAUUUCUCUGUAAAGCCCAAACUAUGUAAGUGACGCAUAGAGCAGUCAUACAUAGAGUACAUAGUGCUACACACUUUAACGGUUUCCUGCCCGGUAAUGGCGGCGUGGGGAGACGGGGUUGGUUGGAGCCAAGACGCUAUGCUAUCGUCAAAUCCCACGUCAACUCCCAAAUCCAGCCUCUACUCACUUUCCUACUCCACGCUGACACAACCAUGGCACCUGUUCCACCCUCUACAAAACACUGCUAUUCAAUUACAGGCCUUUUUAUGUGAGCCUCUUGCAACUAUCCAGCUACCCAGGAGCCCAGAAAGGUCAGCUUCAAAGGAGAGGCCAAUGAAUUUAAAUUGGAUUUAAAGGAUUCGAGGUUAUGGUGGAGAUGGUAUCUCGAUGCAUAGGAGGAAUAAUUUGACCAAACACGGUGUGGACCUGAAAACCCCCUCUAACCGGUUGAAGAAAUGGCGUUCACUAUGGCCCUGUCCUGCACCACUUCUAUCGAGAGACCCGAGUCUGAGCCAGCAACCGGUGUACAGCAUCCAGUUGAAGUUAUCAACUGCCUUUUCUCUCAGGAGUGAAACAGAAGUCCACGUGGAGUGAGCUGGUAUACUGGUUGGCAAAUGGAUGGGACAUAAUGAGUUGUGGUGGGGUUCAGGUGAGACGUUGAAAUUGGUACAUUAUCAUGGGCCAUCCAUUUUCAACUGUGAAGCUAUCUGAAGAAAAAUUCCGGAGAAGGGGGGGGGGGUCGGGGGGUUGGUCAACUUUACCCAUCAUUUAUUUAGACUAGAUCUAUACACUGCUACAUUUAUAGUGAUUUAGGCUAAGAAUGCAUUGAGAUACUGAUCUGGAAUUAUAGCCCUGAUGAGGAAUGUAAUACUAUAACAAUGACAUGAAUAUAUUGUAUGGUAAUAUAAAUGUACAUUCUGCCAGUGUUAAAUUGAGUUUUUUUUAUUUAUUUUGGGUGAUAAAGCCAAUGUGAAUCACUGAGCAAUGUCAUUCUAAAUUUUGGUUGGAUAUUUAAUUGGGUUUUGAUUAUGAUUUGGGAAUUUAAUGAUUUCCCUGACCUAUUCCUGACUACAUCUCUGAUGAGGACCACAAUCCUGAGCAUAAGGACCAUGAUGUACCCAGAGAGGGGUGUCUGUCAUGCUGACCCCUAUCUCGUGCAUAGUGCCAGUGUGAUGACUGUCCUAUUUGCUGUAAUGAAGCUUGUGUGUGAUUUCUA